AACGAACGCUGGCGGCAGGCCUAACACAUGCAAGUCGAACGAGAUCUUCGGAUCUAGUGGCGGACGGGUUAGUAACGCGUGGGGAUGUACCCAAAGGUAUGGAAUAGUCCCGGGAAACUGGGUUUAAUACCAUAUGUGCCCUUAGGGGGAAAGAUUUUUCGCCUUUGGAUCAACCCGCGUUGGAUUAGGUAGUUGGUGGGGUAAUGGCCUACCAAGCCGACGAUCCAUAGCUGGUUUGAGAGGAUGAUCAGCAACACUGGGACUGAGACACGGCCCAGACUCCUACGGGAGGCAGCAGUGGGGAAUCUUAGACAAUGGGGGAAACCCUGAUCUAGCCAUGCCGCGUGGACGAUGAAGGCCUUAGGGUUGUAAAGUCCUUUCAGUCGUGAAGAUAAUGACGGUAGCGACAG
rnacentral:rRNA from 1 species